rnacentral:rRNA from 1 species
GACGUAGGGUGCGAGCGUUGUCCGGAAUUACUGGGCGUAAAGAGCUUGUAGGUGGUUUGUCGCGUUGUUCGUGAAAUCUCACGGCUCAACUGUGAGCGUGCGGGCGAUACGGGCAGACUAGAGUACUGCAGGGGAGACUGGAAUUCCUGGUGUAGCGGUGGAAUGCGCAGGAUAUCGAGGAGGAACACCGGUGGCGAAGGCGGGUCUCGUGGGGCAACAACGUGACGCUGAGGAGCGAAAGCGUGGGGAGCGAACAGG